CCAAUCAGAACACGAGUUUGGGAAAAGAAUGGGGGGGCAGAGUUGAUUCGUUAGUCAUGUGUAUGGACACUUCCGUACUAAGGAGUAUAGUUACAAUGUGGACCAAUGGAGCUUAUUAUACAUACUACUUAGUGCGGAAGUGUAGGACGCACUGAUCCAAACCCAUACACAGAAUGAACCCGGAUAUUAUCCGAAUUUAGUCACGACAAACCAAUACAAUCUAUGGCUCUCAUGCUGGUAUGUCCUGUUAUAUACAAAUCGACCAAGAAAAACAACAGCAGUUGAUGACAUUGUGAGAGCUGUGAAGAAAAUCUCAAGAACAACAGUCAGUGACAUCAAGAACAACCUCUAAAGGGCAGGCUGAAGGUUUUACAAGCCAAUAUUUGAAGAAGACUGAGAGCAGAAAUAAAGAGACUAUACAACAAGAUGCAAAUAGUUCAUCAGUACCAAGAACCAGAAGGACCAACUGCAAUUCAUAAAGAGAUACAGAGAUGCCACAAAAGUCCUGGAACCAAGAAAACCUCUGCCAAAGUAUGGAAAAUGAAAGGAUCUGGUCACGAUCCAAAAUAUGCAAGAUAUACAAGCUCAUCAGUGAAGCAUGGUGGUGGUAGUGCCAUGGCUUGGGCUUGUAUGGAACAGACUCAGUAAACUUUAUUGAUGAUUGAACACAUUCCAAGUUGUUUAACAAAAGCACAGAUAUCAGGAAAUUAAUUUCUGGUCCAUAAUCAUCAUCAUCUUUAUCUCUGUCUCUUAUUUUUAUUGAUUUUUAUGACACAGAAAAGCAUUUCACUCCAUGUUGUACUGUAUACAGUUGUCUAAGUGACAUGGCAUGACAUGAUAUGGUUUGCAUUGUAUUUGUUUAUUUAAAAUAUUUCAAUAAAUUAUGAAUUAUGAA